AUUUCGCCUGGGGCAGGUUCCGCGUUGGGACGUCAGCUGUAGUUCGCCUCCAGGCCUGGUGCCCCAAGGUCUUAGGACGCAUUGCGCCAGGACCCCCCUUCCAGCGGAGUGCGCGAAGAUGGAGGCCAAAGGCCAGCGAAGUCCCAGGAGCGCACAAGUCGGGGUGGCGCCGUCGCUGCUGCUGCUGCUGCUGUCUGAGCUGGUGCCAGAGCGCGCAGCAGAGAGUCCAUGGGGGCUGCCAGUGAUAGCGGAUGGCCCAGCUUCCUUAGCAAAGAUGGUGAUGGCAGAACUGUCCAGCUUGAAGUUUGAAGAAAAAACAUGGCCUGGAGGGACCCAUUCACUUCACUACCACUACCUAACCCUAUCAGAGCCAGGCCCAGGCCUCCCCAAGUUUCUGGCUGUGGGCUAUGUGGACGACCAGCCCUUCAUCCGGUAUGACAGUCGCAGAGGGAAGGCUGAGCCUCAGGCCCCGUGGAUGGCACUAGUGGAUGCCCAGUACUGGGAGACAGAAACCCAGAAACAGAGGGCCUGGGAGAAGGUGCAGCAGGUGGAGAUGUGGACGGUGAUGGGCUACCACAAUCAGAGUGGCGGUACACACAGUGCUCAGCGCAUGUUUGGCUGUGAGAUCCGGGAAGAUGGCAGGUCCAGCAGCUUCUGGCAAUUUGGCUUCGAUGGACAGGACCACCUGUCUCUGGACCUAGAGACACUGAGCUGGGUGUCAGCAGAGCCAGUGGCUGUGCGGACCAAGCGCUGGUGGGAGAUGGAGCGCUGCUAUGCAGAGUAUGACAAGGCCUACCUGGAAAGCCUCUGCCUCAUCUCCCUGCACAGGUAUCUGGAGCUGGGAAGCCAGAGCCUCACGCGGAUAGAGCCUCCCAUGGUGCAGGUGACAAAGCACAUCACCCAGGAUGGGACCAUGCUGAGAUGCUGGGCCUUGGGCUUCUACCCACCAGACAUCUCACUGAGCUGGUGGCUGGGUAGGAAGGAGCUGGUCCUGGAGACUGAGUAUGUGGAGACACGCCCCAGUGGGGAUGGCACUUAUCAGACAUGGACAUCAGUUCGGGUGCCAGCUGGGAAGGAGGCCUGGUAUACCUGCCACGUGCAGCAUCCUGGCCUGAAGCACACCCUCACUGUGGCAUGGGACUCAUCCUCUAUUGGCAAUGACAGUGGCAAUGGCACACUACUUGGUGGGAUCAUGGUCCUGGUCUUUGUUGGGCUGGUAGCUGUAAUUGUGAUACUGAAAAAGAAGUGUCUUCAAGCUGGCCAACAUAGUCCAUAUAAUUUGCCAAAUGUGCCCGACUCUUUAUGUACGAAGUAGGGGGAAUGAGCUCCAAACACCAAGAAGCCUUGAAACUCUUCUAUGAAUUGGACAGAAUCAAGGAGCCACAAACAGCACAGCCUGGUGCCACUGGAUGGAGUGGCUCAGGAGUAAAAGAUCCUGGCUGUUUAACCUAAGUGUGAGCAAAGAAGACUGGGUAUUGUGGUGAGCCGUUCCUGUAGACCGUGGCCGCCAUUAGAAGAUGGCGCCGGCUUCCACUGUGGCCUGUG